rnacentral:tRNA from 1 species
GGCCCCGUAGUUCAGUUGAAUAGAACGACAGAUUCCGGUUCUGUAAGUCGGGGGUUUGAGUCCCUCCGGGGUCACAA